rnacentral:rRNA from 1 species
CCUACGGGAGGCAGCAGUCGGGAAUCUUGCGCAAUGGAGGCAACUCUGACGCAGUGACGCCGCGUGCAUGAAGAAGGUUUUCGGAUUGUAAACUGCUUUAGACAGGGAAGAAAAAAGACAGUACCUGUAGAAUACGCCCCGGCUAACUCCGUGCCAGCAGCCGCGGUAAUACGUAGGGAGCAAGCGGUAGUCGGAUGUAGUUGGUGUAAAGCGUGCGUAGACGGGGAAGCAAGUUAGAUGUGAAAUCCCUCGGCUUAACUGAGGAACAGCAACUGACACUAGUGACCGUGAGUGCUGGAGAGGAGAGUGGAAUUCCGAGUGUAGCGGUGAAAUGCGGAGAGAUUAGGAGGAACACCAGUGGCGAAGGCGACUUUCUGGACAGUAACUGACGUUGAGGCACGAAAGUGUGGGGAGCAAACAGGAUUAGAUACCCGUGUAGUC